rnacentral:lncRNA from 1 species
CCUGGCCGAGGCAACGGCAACCAUCGCCAACUGCUGGUCGGAGAUCUUGGGUCUCUAGUGGCUGCAGCAAUUAGUUCCAGUGCUCCGGCGCUUCAUUCAUGCUCCAGUCUUAGCCGAGCAACGCCAGCCGCAAACCGCGUGUUUUCUCCGUGAAACAGGUUCCGUUGCCGUCGUCUCUUCGCGCGUGCGGGCCAUAUCGCUCGCGCCUUCAGCUUCCCGCGAAAAGCACGUGACGUCAAACUUUUUGCUGUGGCUCCCGAAAUCACAUCGAUUGUUAAAAGUGUUGUACGCAACUAAUAGAAUUUUUUUUCAUUCUUCUCCUCCUCGUUUUCCAAAUUAUCGAAAGUGUGAAAAAAAAUAGUUUACGAACAACACGUGCGUUAAAGUCUCCGAGCCAUUUCAAUCCGGUCACGUGGUUUUGCGCUGUAUACUUGUCGAGUGCGUGUGUGUCGCGUCGAAAAAUAGCUCGUGUUGAUGUUAUAAGUAUAUUGUGACUAAUUUUGAGGGAGAUUGGUGGUACAGAAUAAAUAAAUGAGGAUAUUCUUAUGAAACCGGCUUGAUCGCGGUAAUUCCUGUGUGAUUUAGAAUGACCCGGCGGAAGUUUUCGGAUUUUUUAAAGAGCAACCGGUUGAAACAUUUGAAAGCUUUAAAAGUGAGUUUGUCUUCGAAGUGUUAGCCUCUUUUAAGAGCGCCUGCAUCGAACGGUGAAAAUAAGUGAUCAGUCAAAUCGCCAAAUAAUUGUCGAAAAAUGGCCAUCAGUAACGCCCAGUCCUACGUCUGGCCUCCUGACUACAACUGGAGGCAUUAUGGAUAUGAGGGCGCCCAUGUGAAUGUUCUACCAGAAACUGAAGCAGCCAAUAAAGAUCUCGUUUUGCCCUGGUUAAUGACUGUCUGGAUGCUGAGCUCAUCGCUGGCCCCGGGAUCAACGAAACCGACCCCGAGCAAACCGCCCAAGGUAAAACCCACCCUCACCCCUCCUUACACGAUAGAGUACCCUCUGGAGGACACGCGACCUCCCAUCGGCGAGUACUUCUGG